UUCCAUUUGGCUCAGUUGGUAGAGUGUUUACCUGCCAUGUGUGAAACCCUGGGUUCGAUCCCCAGCACUGGAUA
rfam:Cricetulus griseus cell line CHO-K1, whole genome shotgun sequence.